rnacentral:lncRNA from 1 species
AGAAACAGAGCCAGGGACAAGAUCCUUGGUGGUAAGAUUAUACGAGUGGAAGUACACACAAUACCAGAACACCCCCAACCUCACCCAAUACCAGAACACCCCCGACCUCGCAGAUUAUUAGGUAGAGUAGCGCUAGUUGGUGAUGCAGCUGGGUAUGUAACCAAAUGCUCAGGUGAGGGUAUCUAUUUUGCAGCAAAGAGUGGUAGAAUGUGUGCAGAGGCAAUAGUUGAGGGUUCAGAGAAUGGAAAGAGGAUG